UACGUAGGGUGCGAGCGUUAAUCGGAAUUACUGGGCGUAAAGCGUGCGCAGGCGGUUUGCUAAGACAGGUGUGAAAUCCCCGGGCUUAACCUGGGAACUGCGCUUGUGACUGGCAGGCUAGAGUACGGUAGAGGGGGGUGGAAUUCCUGGUGUAGCAGUGAAAUGCGUAGAUAUCAGGAGGAACACCGAUGGCGAAGGCAGCCCCCUGGGCCUGUACUGACGCUCAUGCACGAAAGCGUGGGGAGCAAACAGGAUUAGAUACCCU
rnacentral:rRNA from 1 species